UACGUAGGUGGCAAGCGUUAUCCGGAAUUAUUGGGCGUAAAGAGCGCGCAGGUGGUUGAGAAAGUCUGAUGUGAAAGCCCACGGCUUAACCGUGGAGGGUCAUUGGAAACUGUUCAACUGGAGUGCAGAAGAGGGAAGUGGAAUUCCAUGUGUAGCGGUGAAAUGCGUAGAGAUAUGGAGGAACACCAGUGGCGAAGGCGGCUUCCUGGUCUGUAACUGACACUGAGGCGCGAAAGCGUGGGGAGCAAACAGG
rnacentral:rRNA from 1 species